rnacentral:misc_RNA from 1 species
GUAAGAGCUUUAAUCUUUUUUCGAUCAAUUUUCCUUUUUAUUUUGUGAAAAUGAGUGGUACCGAGGGUAAGAGAGCUGCGAGCCCACCUUCCGUCCAUAUUUUGUGGACCUCAGAAAGAGGCGAUGCGAUUAGACCAAGCGGACGAUCCAGCACAGCCAUCAUUCCGGUUACUGGUCCAGCUACCAGACCGAAGCGAGGAACGUCUUCGAGAAAGGAGAACCUGCCACUUGAUAAACUGCCGUCAAUCCUUAGAGAGAUUGAUCUCCAAUCUAUAAGUCAAGA